UUUUUUCACCUAAAUAGUCUUAUGGUCACUUAGUGUUCAUAGGUAAAAGCCACAAUGGGGCCACAUAUUUAUGUUUUAGGCUUAUCGCUGUCGCUUCGAUUAACCAUGAUACCCCGAAAACUCAGACCCCGAAAACUC